CGCGGGGUGGAGCAGCCUGGUAGCUCGUCGGGCUCAUAACCCUGGUAGCUCGUCGGGCUCAUAACCCGAAGGUCGUCGGUUCAAAUCCGGCCCCCGCAACCA
rnacentral:tRNA from 1 species